rnacentral:rRNA from 1 species
UACGUAGGGGGCAAGCGUUGUUCGGAAUUACUGGGCGUAAAGCGCGCGUAGGCGGCUUUGCAAGUCGGGUGUGAAAUCCCCAGGCUUAACCUGGGAACUGCAUUCGAGACUGCAUUGCUAGAGUAUGGGAGAGGGAAGUGGAAUUUCCGGUGUAGCGGUGAAAUGCGUAGAUAUCGGAAGGAACAUCAGUGGCGAAAGCGACUUCCUGGACCAAUACUGACGCUCAUGUGCGAAAGCGUGGGGAGCAAACAGGG